CCAGGCCGGUUGAGACCACCAACUCAUCAACUGGGUCUGUGCAGAUGUCCGAUAGGCGACCUUUUGACGUCAAGAGGCUAAAAACUCCACCCUCAGAUCAUGCUAAUGCCGCCAUUUUGUGAACAUGGGUCCUGUGAAGAGACAUGGAGUCUGACUACGCUUGCGCACAUCAUCAGUUACCUCACCCCUCCCCACCUCCAAUCACCUCUCUCCACAGUUCAGACCACCUUGCCCCCAUCCCGUAAAUAUCCCUGAGUCCCUAUUUUCGGGGAAGCAAAUUUGAGGCUCAUGCUCUCGCUUCUUCGCAUGGCUGCCUUAGUCUUUCUCUAUCCAUUGCUGGCUUUGAAGAAGGAAGCUGCCAUGAAUCCUACAGCUGCAUGGGGCCAAAUGCUGCCAAAAACCAUGUGAGUGAGAAAGUGAGUCCCUCCCUAGUCGAGCCUCCAGAUGAGACCUCAGCCCAGGCUGACACCUUAACUGCAGUCUUGAGACUCUGAAAUGGAGAUCAGCUAACCUGUGUCCAGACUCCAGACCCAGAGUAGCUAUGAGAAAACUGACAUUUGUCGCUUUAAGCUGCUGGGUUUGUGAUAGUGUGUUAUGCAGAAAUAGAUGUCUACACUUAUCAACUAAUUGUGUAGCCUUGAGGAUGCCUACAGAAGAUUCAAAGACACAGUGAAAUGGUCAAAGUCAUCUUCUAGGAGAAGGCUCUAAAAUGACACCUCUGGUGCCAAGACACUAACAAGAUCGCCCCCAGAAUUCUCCUUUCUUCAUCAUCCAGAAAGAUUCACGAUGGUGAAAGUUGCCCCAUGCAGCAGCUGAAAGAUGCCCAAUUACCUUCUGUGAGAGUCAAAGCUUUUGGAAGAAAUGAGCAGCAAAUAUUUUGACCUGGGGUCAAAGAACCAGGACAUCCUUGGAAACACACAGUGCUGCUUUGGAUCUCAACUUAACGACGUGUCAGCUCUGUGUUUUGGGGCAAUUUAUUUAACUACUCUAAGCUUUGGCUUUCUCACUUAAAAACAGGAAUUAUAAUUCCUAGUUCAUAAGGUUGUUGCAAUGCUUGAAACAGGAUAACAUAUCGGAAAGCAUCUAUAAUAUUUCCUGGCAUAUUAGGCAUCCUAGAAAUUUCUAGGAUUGUCCCUUCCCUCUUUGGAAGCGGGUAUUGGUGCUCAGUCACGUGGUCAUCAAGCAACAUAUAAGCAUAUUUCGUAUCAAAAGUGUCAUCCACAUUGACCCCUCAUCUCCUCUUGGUCUGCUACUACUCCUCCUCAUCUUGAUAGCGAUGUCAAUAGGCAAUUUCAUGGUAAAGUUAAUGAGAAGCUAUGAUCUCGAGGGCUAAUUCUGAAAGCAUUCAUAGGCAAAUCUGGAGUAGAAAGAAGCCAUUUAUAUUUCUCACAUGUUUUCUUAUAACUGGUGCACUGGAAACCCGUCAUUCUAAAAGAACCAAGUAAGUGACAGACUAUGUUGGUGCAUCCCACAGCCUUCUCUUGUU
rnacentral:lncRNA from 1 species